AGUGACCAGAAGACAAGAGUGUGAGCCUCUGUCACACCCGGGCAGGGCCACCAGAGGGCUCCUUGGUCUAGCGGUAA
rnacentral:miRNA from 1 species